AGGAUGAACGCUGGCGGUCUGCUUAACACAUGCAAGUCGAACGGAGUAGCAAUACUUAGUGGCGGACGGGUGAGUAACGCGUGAGAAUCUACCUUCAGGACGGAGACAACAGUUGGAAACGACUGCUAACCCCCGAUGUACCGAAAGGGCAAAUAUUUAUAGCCUGAAGAAGAGCUCGCGUCCGAUUAGCUAGUUGGAGAGGUAAAAGCUCACCAAGGCGACGACGGGUAGCC
rnacentral:rRNA from 1 species